GACGAACGCUGGCGGCGCGCUUAACACAUGCAAGUCGAGCGAAGCGGCGGACGGGUGAGUAACACGUGAGUAACCUGCCUUAGACAUUGGGAUAGCCUCGGGAAACCGGGAUUAAUACCAAAUAGUCUAAGAUGGACUCGCGUCCCAUUAGUUGGCUGGUGAGGUAACGGCCCACCAAGGCGACGAUGGGUAGCCGGCCUGGGAGGGUGAACGGCCACAUUGGAACUGAGAAACAGUCCAAACUCUACGGGAGGGAGCAGUGGGGAAUAUUGCACAAUGGAGGGAACUCUGAUGCAGCGAGGCCGCGAGAACGCUGAAGGCUUUCGAGUCGUACAGUUCUUUUAUAUGGGAAGCGGUACCAUAAGAAAAAGCCCCGGCUAACUACGUGCCAGCAGCCGCGGUAAUUC
rnacentral:rRNA from 1 species